AUUUUAAAUUAUUAUGUGGUUUUUUUUUUUCAUUUUUUUAAGUUUCUUUUAUUUUUUUUCCAGAUAUAGAAAACUAGUGGUUUUCCAUUUUCACCUCUCCAUCUUCUCCCAUCUUCACCUCUCCGUUUUCCAUUUCCUUCUCAGGCAGCUCCCAUCUUCACCUCUCUGUUUACCAUUUCCUUCUCAGGCAUGUGUGAUUUUCUUCUCAAUCAGAGUUAGGGUUCGAUUCCCUUUUCCAGCAAAGCUAGUGGUUCGAUUUCGACGGAGUUGGUGGUGCGAGUUUUCCUCAGGCGAAUCGAGUUGUUCAGGCGGAGAUUUGGUUGCUCAGGUCAUUAAUCAUUUAGAGAAUGUCUUCAUCUGAUUUUGAAUCUCAUAUGAAGAAAACAUCUAAAAAUACACAAUCCCCUUUUUCUACUCAUGGUGUUAAAAGGCUAGGUGUUAAAAAGAAGUGCAUUGGUGAAACUUCUAAAUGGAACAAGGUUCCUCAAUAUAUGAUUUUCCAAACAAAGCGAUUUGGAACAAAAGUUCAGCCUUUCAAUAAUCUCUGUAAUUUCUGACCUGGACACUACUUUUACUAAUAAACAAAAGGAGCUAUUUAAAGCAA